GACGAACGCUGGCGGCAUGCCUAACACAUGCAAGUCGAACGAGACCUUCCGGUCUAGUGGCGCACGGGGGGUUAACGCGGGGGAAGCUGCCCGUAGGUUCGGAAUAACUCCCCGAAAGGGGUGCUAAGACCGGAGAAGGUCUUCCGACCAAAGAUUUAUCGCCGUGGGAUGGGCGCGCGUUGGAUUAGCUGGUUGGUAGGGUAAAAGCCUACCAAGGCGACGAUGCAGAGCUGGUGUGAGAGGAUGCUCAUCCACACUGGGACUGCGACACGGGCCAGACGGCUACGGAAGGCAGCAGUGGGGAAUAUUGGAGACUGGGCGAAAGCCUGAUCCAGCAAUGCCGCGUAAGUGAUGAAGGCCUUAGGGUUGUAAAGCUCUCUUACCCGAGAUGAUAAUGACAGUACCGGGUGAAUAAGCACCGGCUAAGUACGUG
rnacentral:rRNA from 1 species